UGGGCGUAAAGAGUACGUAGGCGGUUAGGUAAGUCAGGUGUGAAAUCCCGGAGCUCAACUCCGGAACUGCAUCCGAUACUGCCUGACUGGAGUAAUGGAGAGGCAGGUGGAAUUCUUGGUGUAGCAGUGAAAUGCGUGGAUAUCAAGAGGAAGACCAAUGGCGAAGGCAGCCUGCUGGACAUUUACUGACGCUGAGGUACGAAGGCCAGGGUAGCGAAAGGGAUUAGAUACCCCUGUAGUCCUGGCAGUAAACGGUGCGCGCUUGGUGUAGGAGGACUCGACCCCUUCUGUGCCGGAGCUAACGCGUUAAGCGCGCCGCCUGGGGAGUACGGUCCCAAGACUAAAACUCAAAGAAAUUGACGGGGACCCGCACAAGCGGUGGAGUAUGUGGCUUAAUUCGAUGCAACGCGAAGAACCUUACCAAGGCUUGACAUGUAUUGCUAAGCACGUGAAAGCGUGUGACCCUUCGGGGACCUUACACAGGUGCUGCAUGGCCGUCGUCAGCUCGUGUCGUGAGAUGUUUGGUUAAGUCCAGCAACGAGCGCAACCCCUGUGAAUAGUUGCCAGCACGUAAUGGUGGGGACUCUAUUCAGACUGCCCAGGUCAACUGGGAGGAAGGUGGGGAUGACGUCAGGUCAGUAUGGCCCUUACGCCUUGGGCUGCACACGUACUACAAUGCCCAGUACAAUGAGAACCGAGACCGCGAGGUGGAGGAAAUCUGCAAAACUGGGCCCAGUUCGGAUUGGAGGCUGCAACUCGCCUCCAUGAAGUUGGAAUCGCUAGUAAUGGCACAUCAGCUACGGUGCCGUGAAUACGUUCCCGGGUCUUGUACACACCGCCCGUCACAUCAUGGAAGCCGAUCGCACCCGAAGUAUCUGCGCUAACUAUUUAUAGAAGCAAGGCCCUAA
rnacentral:rRNA from 1 species